GGCAGCAAACGGAGCAGGAGGUUCUAAUAUGGGUUUGUGCGUGAGGCGGAUUUUUUUUAAAGCGUUUGGUUUCUGUUCAUCAAAGAAAAGUUGACAGACGACCAUGUAAACCGCGGAGCGCCUGAAGAUUGCAGUUUAUUGUUACCCCUUGUGGGGAAACUGUCCGCUCUCCCUGUUCUUUCCGAUGCUGGCCGGAGCAAGGCCGUGACUCAAGUCCUGUCCACACUGCAGCCUAACGUGAAACCUUGCCAAUUAAGUACCUUGCUUGGAUUCAUCUGUGCGCACAAGGGGCCCGUGGGCUGGGGCCAUCUGUGCGUCCACGAAUAGCUGAGAAGAACUCGAUAAAAGGAGGCAAAUUCAGGCUGAGAGAUGUCGCCUCAAGAGAUGGAGACGCCUCCCCUGCAAAGACUGGAAUGACCUUCUCCUGAACCGAUUCUUUCUCCUCUAAUGGUGCAAGUUCCUGUGGAC